ensembl:lncRNA
CAGCAGCAGCAGCGGGUGGUGGCAGGCGCAAAAGGGGAGCCUUUGCAAUCGAGGCUUGAAGGUCUCCAAGUCAACUACCGCCUUGACCAGCUCUUCAUCUGUAGGCUCCACAGAUGACCGGGGGGAGGACAGAGCUGGUCUGAAGGGGCUGAAGUGGGAGGCUGCGGACACAUGAUGACAGAAGAUGAACCAGGGAAACAGGAGCGUAGAUCAAGUGGAACGUCAGUAAAUAACGGAGGCUGGACUGACCUGUAGAUGCAGGCUUAGGGGCCACCAGCUUCUUCACCUGGGCCUGCAUCUCCACAGCAGAUAGAGAACGCCGACCAGAGACAAACUCCACAAGCGCUGGACCAAGAGGCCUAUUAUGACACACGAUAAAUGAGAGGCAACGACAUUAACAAUGACACAACGUUACAAACAUUUCUUCAGGAACACGUACUGUGAUGCACUCGUGGCUCUCUGGCUUGCGGCCGAUGCAGAGGCUGCGCUGCUGCUGGAGGUGGAGGCGGUGGAGGAGGUAGAUGCUCCAGCAGCAGCUUUCAUCCUCUGCCUGUCUCUGCUGCGCACAUACUGGACGGCGUUCUCCAUCUGCGUCCCUGGAGCUGGUGACGUCCUCCGCAGAGGCUCUCCAGGGUCUCAAAUUUGAAGUCCCCGAAGCCAACAAGGGCCCGUCCCUCCUGACCGGGCUGGAGGGAAUUCGCCCGCGCCUCCUCAAAUGCCCGGUGGAACCUGACAGCCUCCACGAAGUCAGGAUAGGCGGAGGAGUAGCGGGUGAAGGCGUCCUUAUUGUGAAGGACCUUGUUGGCCAUCAGCGGGGACUCAGACUGCGUCCUCUCGCGCUCCUUCUGGUGGGAGGCGACCAGAUUGACGCUGUAGCCCACGUCGUUCUCCAGGAGCCAGUGGAAGGUUCUGCCCUGGUAGCGGCCAAACUGCACCUUCCACCGGCUCAGGACCAGGGCGGCGUUGGCGGUGUCACCGCCCUCGGAGACGACGUGAGCCCAGGCCUCCGAGUCCACCUCCUCCGGCUUCUUUGCCCUGUAAGGCGCCUGGGCACUGGGGGGCUGCUGCGUGAAAAGGGCCUGGGCCGCUGGGGAGGCCUUGAGCAGGAUGGUCCCGUUAGGGGCCCUCCGGAAUGUAGGAUGCUCCAUCUAAACAAAUGGACAUUUUAGCAGCACACGGGAGAAAGAAGACAUGACACGUGACACUCCCAUCUAUGACAUCAGUUAUAUCACAGUAUUUUACUCUUGUCAUUAAAACCUUCCUAUCAGAGGAAACCCUGUGUCUGUCUCUAAAUAUGCA